AGCGAACGCUGGCGGCAGGCUUAACACAUGCAAGUCGAGCGGACCUUUCGGGGUCAGCGGCGGACGGGUGAGUAACGCGUGGGAACGUGCCUUCCGGUUCGGAAUAACCCUGGGAAACUAGGGCUAAUACCGGAUACGCCCUUAUGGGGAAAGGUUUACUGCCGGAAGAUCGGCCCGCGUCUGAUUAGCUAGUUGGUGGGGUAACGGCCUACCAAGGCGACGAUCAGUAGCUGGUCUGAGAGGAUGAUCAGCCACACUGGGACUGAGACACGGCCCAGACUCCUACGGGAGGCAGCAGUGGGGAAUAUUGGACAAUGGGCGCAAGCCUGAUCCAGCCAUGCCGCGUGAGUGAUGAAGGCCUUAGGGUUGUAAAGCUCUUUUAUCCGGGACGAUAAUGACGGUACCGGAGGAAUAAGCCCCGGCUAACUUCGUGCCAGCAGCCGCGGUAAUACGAAGGGGGCUAGCGUUGCUCGGAAUCACUGGGCGUAAAGGGCGCGUAGGCGGCGUUUUAAGUCGGGGGUGAAAGCCUGUGGCUCAACCACAGAAUGGCCUUCGAUACUGGGACGCUUGAGUAUGGUAGAGGUUGGUGGAACUGCGAGUGUAGAGGUGAAACUCGUAGAUAUUCGCAAGAACACCGGUGGCGAAGGCGGCCAACUGGACC
rnacentral:rRNA from 1 species